GAGAGAGAGAGAGAAAGAAAUAGGGCAGAAAUGAGAAGUUGAGAUGGGUUUGACAAAGACAAAGGGAUUCUCUUCUGGAGAAAUCUGAAAUGUGUUUGAAUCCACCGUGCCUGGCUUGGAUUCCCUUUUGAUGAUGGUCUGUGGGGUACCAGCAGGGAACAGCAGCUUGUUUUUGCAGUUACUGACAAGACAGGUUUAGGGGAGGAUUCUUUCCUGCAUCAGGACCAUGUUGAUUCAAACAAGAGCCCUCUUUGAGUACCACGUGCCUGCAACAUGGGCAAGAGGUAGGGAGAUGGGGCAAGGAUUUUAGAAUCCAAGCCCUCUUCUCCCUCUCCCCAGAGAUCUGUUCCACACAAAUUAUACCGAUUUCCCUUUGGCUCACUCCAGUGCAAUAUCAGGAAAAGUUCUUUGAAGAUAUCUCCUUAGCUGGGAGCUCCUAAAUGCCUGCACAAGCCAACUUAUUCCCACUAUGUAGCCCUGAGCUUUUCUCUUGGGUCCCACCUGACUCCAGCUGUGCACUCCCCAUUAUCACUCCCCUGUUCCUCUACGCAGAGCCAGCUCAACUUCCUUGGCACGGGUGAGGUGUGUUCUGUUAGCUCCCACCCACGGAAAUGGGAGGCUUCAGCGUCCUUACCGUGACAGAUAGAUGCCCCCUCCAGAGAUAUGCCACAGGGAUCACAAGCACAUCUUGAACUCUGGAGCAUCCGGGGCCCAAUACCAGGCAGCUCCACGUGUUCAUGCACACACACAUGCACAUGCACAUACAUGCACACACACAUAUAUGCACAUGCACACAUUUUUGCUUACACACAGAACACAUUUUUGCAAACAUUCAUGUGACAGGCU
rnacentral:lncRNA from 10 species